rnacentral:rRNA from 1 species
CAGUAGCCGCGGGAAUACGAAGGGUGCAAGCGUUAAUCGGAAUUACUGGGCGUAAAGCGUGCGUAGGCGGUUUGUUAAGUCUGUUGUGAAAUCCCCGGGCUCAACCUGGGAAUGGCAAUGGAUACUGGCAAGCUAGAGUGUGUCAGAGGAUGGUGGAAUUCCCGGUGUAGCGGUGAAAUGCGUAGAGAUCGGGAGGAACAUCAAUGGCGAAGGCGGCCAUCUGGGACAACACUGACGCUGAGGCACGAAAGCGUGGGGAGCAAACAGGAUUAGAUACCCGCGUAGUCCCUGUCUCUUAUAA